CAGGGAGCGAGGCCAAUCUAACUCCUCUCUCAAUCCAAUCCUCCCACGCCCGGUUGCCUGCCGACGAGCCGCCGCCGGCCCCGCCGUGCUCGCUCCUUCUCAAUACCUCUCCACCACCGCCGUUGCCUGCGCCCCUGCCGCGUACAUCUCGCGCGUGCCUUAGCUGUGACGGGCUCGUUUGCAGCCGCUGCCGCAUGCGCCCGCCCGGCGAGCUCCGCCGCCAGCCGUUACCUCGCUGCCCUACGUCUCCCAGCCUCCGCACCAGCCCAUCCCCGACCUCCCUUGCACCCGCUGCCAUGUCGAGCAGAUGCCACAGCCCAAAUCUCGAGCCAGGGAAACCCUAAUCGCCCCAAAACUAUAAGGCGCCGCCAGCACCGCAUUUCCCAAACCCUUGCACCACAAGCAGACGACAGGUAAGGGAGGAGAAGAGCAGCGGCGAAGAUGGUGUCGCUAAAGCUACAGAAGCGCCAGGCCUCGAGCGUCCUCAAGUGCGGCAAUGAUAAGGUUUGGAUCCUCAAGUGCGGCAAGGACAAGGUUUGGAUCGAGUCCCACCAGAUCCUCCUCGCUGCUGCGUGAAUCUCAUCCCUCCAGAUCCUCAUCGCCAUUGUUCGGAGGCCCGACAAGGAGAUGCGAUAGUGGGCCUCAUUACCAACGACACCUGCAAUGCCUCGGAGACAGCGACACCAUCGAUGCCCAGUCAUCUUGAUUUGCACUGGCUUAGGAAUUUUUCUUAAAUAUAAGUGUUGAAUCAUCACGUGGAGGUGGUAGUAUGAGAUUUUUCAGGGUAGGAGAUAUCAGACUCCAUGGCAAUGGCCGAUGGCUAUUGUUUCAAUUUCUCACAAGCCAUGAGAAAAUCGGGGUAUAACACUGCCUAAAUUGUGUUACACCCUAUGCUCAUGAUCAGUACGGGACAAGAGUGGCUUGAACGGCAGCAUCUUGAAUCAUCAAAGUUGUGUGAAUUCCCUCUUGCUUGGGUGUUGUAUUUUAGCAGAGAGCAAUAUCACUACACUACUGAACGUUUUCUUGAACAGAAGCCACCUGAACUUAGUUUGAGCUCUCCUAUUGUUAAAUGAAGCUUGAUUUUUAGUAAGCUGAACAAUGUUUCUGAUUUCCUAACUUAAGAGGGUAUUUUCAGUUCUGUUCGUAUUGUUCCAAUCAGUUAUUUUACACUAUUAUAUAAUGGGCAUGCUUAUUUACAGCAUCUUGAUUAUUUUUGUCACGACUAUUUCCUUUCAGAAAAUUGCUGAUCCAUGGUCUUCCUGCAGAUUCCAAUGCUGACUUGAAUCCUGUUAGGAGUUGAUCAAGAUAAUCCGCUGUGUUGUGAUGCAAUCACUGAUUAAUUGGUGUGGAAUGUAGUGCUCUAUUUGAGAGAGAGAUGUGACCAUUAAUUUGAGAUAGAGAUGUGACCAUUUAAGUUUGAGAGAUGGCAAGAGAGUGCUCUACAUACACCAAUAAUGCAUCCACUGUUCAUGCUUCUCUGGUCAGCUCAUAUGUGGUUAUCGAAGCAGGAAAAGUUCUUGAGAAGAACUCUAAUUGCUAUGGACCUCGAGAUUGAUUCUUGCUAUUGUAUAUUGCCGUUGACAUUGGACUUGCUAUUUCCUGUAAGAGGGACAUUGGAAUCGCUGCUCAUCUAGAGGAGUCAGUUCCAAAUCUACGUCGGAAUAAUGCGAUGUUAAUGAUUGGAGAUGAAUUGACUCCUACCGAAAGACUGAUCCCAAGCAGAGCUACAACCUGUCCAUGGAUUACUUGCAGGCCUGCAUUCUAACCAACAACAUUGGGCAGUGAGAGGGAGGGGCGACCAGCGAACACGCGGGAGGCGCAACCACGCAAGAGGUGACGGGGAGCCGGCGGAGAUUGCCAGUGGUGAGCGGGUGGUGGUGACCUCGAGCGGUCAGCACCAGUGGCGAGCAGGCAAUCACCGCGAUGGGCGACCAGCCAAAUCAAUCAGCCAAGGGCCAUUAUGUGCGUGAGUGUGUUAGUAAUGGGUAUCUCUGAAGAUUAUUUCUCAACUCGGCAUGGGGGUAGAGACUAAAAAGACGAUGCCACCGUAGCAUGGCAGACCAUGAACAUAGCGGUCGGGCAAACGAAACUUCGGCAUCUUGAUCGAUCAAGCGAAGCUUUUAAGCGCACAUACAAGUAACUUUGCAAUCAAGUGCUAUUUUUGUUUUUUCAGUUUCACUAAUUGCAUCUAAGGGCUACAAGAUCCCAUGCGCUAGCCAACGUCAAGGUUCAUAUUCAUUUUUAUUAUAUAGAUGGAACGAUAUUGUCUAUAUAUGGACACAAGACGGUACUCAUGUAAUAUUCUAUGAAGACAUGCUCGGACACUUGACAACAUGCCAUUGCUAAAUUAAUCUCUACCAUACUUUUCCAUAACAUCCACUGCGGUAAGGUUGUUCCAGUUUAAUUUAGCAACACUUUGCAUGGUCUAGAUAGCCAAGGUUCUAAAUAAGCUAUUGCUUAUUUUCAUGAUUUCAAAAUGCUUCCGUGAAGCUUUUGUUCCCAUCUAUAAGACCAAUCACCCUUUUCCCUUUAUUUUUUCCUUUACGAGGUCAGCUAUUUAAAUGAUGAUUCAUUAAACUCAAACAUGUAGUCAUGCGAGUGGCGAUGGUGGUGAACAUUAGUCAGAUUGGGGCAGAAGAUGCCGAGCACAAGCAUGCGGCUUGCCCUUGAUUGAGUUGUCAACACUGAUGAUUGGGGUGGUGUCUUCUGGUUGAACAAUGCCAACAUCGCACAGUGAGUCGUCUCAGUUUCAUAUGACCUGUUGGUGAUGUCUCUGAAUACAUGUUGAUUUGAUGAGGUAAUAUUUUUUUGGUCAACUAUAAAAUAUUUGCUUCUCUUUGCCACAAUAUAAAGUUAUUCUCGGUUAUUUAGAGAGCACCAUAGGAGUUCAAAAUUACAUUGUCUAGAGAUAAUUGUCAGAAUCAACCUCCUAACUUUGCUUGCUUUGCAUUUAAUAUUUGUUGAAGUACAAAAGAUGAUGACUAAAAUGAUGAUUCAAUCAAAAAAAUUGUGUCAUACGGAACUAAGAUGUCUACUGACCUAUCCGUGUGUAUAACUUCAGAUUAUAAAUCUCAGCACUCCAAUUUCAAAAGUUAAGCACUUGCCAAUUAUAUGCGAUGUUUCAAGCGGAAGUGAGAUGAGAGAGAAAGAGAAAGAUUGGUCUAAUUAUUACUCCUAAGUUCAUAAUGUUUUGUCAAUACCUUAAAUUUGAUGUGAAGCUUGUAUUAUUAUUGUCAGAUCUAAAUUAAAUCAAAGACUUCAACACGGGAUGUUGCCUCUUUCACCUUAUUGUCAUUCUUAACGAUCUGUUGUGAGUAAAUCAUAGUGCAGUUGCGUCUUAUAUUUUGUUUGGGCCUGUAGGUCCAGUUAGGUGUGAGCAAGAACACAACAGGUGGAAAGGUUUUCCUUCGAUCUUCAACUCCCAGCCGCUCUAAUAUUUCCAUGUGGAAUGUUCAGCAAAAUGCCUUACAACGAAUACCCUAG